rnacentral:misc_RNA from 1 species
UACAGAGGGUGCGAGCGUUGUUCGGAAUUACUGGGCGUAAAGCGCGCGCAGGCGGCCUUUUAAGUCUACCCGUGAAAUGCCGAAGCUCAACUCCGUGCACGCCGGGGGAUACUGGGAGGCUGGAGACAGGUAGAGGCAAGCGGAAUUCCGGGUGUAGCGGUGGAAUGCGUAGAGAUCCGGAAGAACACCGGAGGCGAAGGCGGCUUGCUGGGCCUUGUCUGACGCUGAGGCGCGAAAGCGUGGGGAGCGAACAGG